rnacentral:rRNA from 1 species
AUUGAACGCUGGCGGCAUGCCUUACACAUGCAAGUCGAACGGCAGCGGGCCUUCGGGUGCCGGCGAGUGGCGAACGGGUGAGUAAUGCAUCGGAACGUGCCAUUGAGUGGGGGGAUAACGUAGCGAAAGUUACGCUAAUACCGCAUAUUCUGUGAGCAGGAAAGCAGGGGACCGCAAGGCCUUGCGCUCUUUGAGCGGCCGAUGUCAGAUUAGCUAGUUGGUGAGGUAAAGGCUUACCAAGGCGACGAUCUGUAGCGGGUCUGAGAGGAUGAUCCGCCACACUGGAACUGAGACACGGUCCAGACUCCUACGGGAGGCAGCAGUUAGGAAUCUUGCGCAAUGGGGGAAACCCUGACGCAGCCAUGCCGCGUGAAUGAUGAAGGUCUUAGGAUUGUAAAAUUCUUUCAGCGGGGACGAUAAUGACGGUACCCGCAGAAGAAGCCCCGGCUAACUUCGUGCCAGCAGCCGCGGUAA